rnacentral:lncRNA from 1 species
GGAGUUCUUAGAUUUUAAAAUGGAAACUACCACUAAAUAACUGCAUCCCACAAGUCAACUCAGCCUCUUACUUAGGAAUGCUCUUUGUAGCCGACUCCUCCACGUAGGCCAAUCAGCUUGCAGCACCGCUGAGAAGCGGGAGGAAUUCUGAUCUAAUCCUGAAUUUUUCUUAUGGAGAAGAUGUGUACACUUUUAAAAUAUUUUAGGUCCAAAUAGAUUGCUUUAUACAAAGAACUCCGUGCUAAUUGAAUUGUCAUCCAAGCUAGUGUAUUAACAGUUCUUUCUGUGGUAAAGCAUCCCGGAUUCCAGCGCAGAGAUGGGACGACCCUCCUUCCAUGAGUAUGUGGGUCAGCCUCUUAAUGUGCACAGGGAAGGGCAGUGCUGCUGUCUGAUGUUUGAAUUUUCCAUGGGGAUGGAGCUUUCUGCAAAGAAUAACACAUAUUUCUAUAAUUUGAUCACUGAGCAUGGAAUUCAGUCUCAUGUCCUCUACAUAAGUUUACUAGAAGAGAGCCAUUACAGAAGCUAAGCAGCCAAGCAUACUGUCCUAUUUCAAGGCUUUCACAUCAGCCAUAUCAGCCACAACAGAUGAGGAACCUCGACCUUCGACAUCCGGGCAGGCAAACGUAGAAGGCAUAGACGUUAGUGAACUGCCCGGCCUGAUGGAUUCAGAUGACAAUGAGAUGUUAAUAGACGACCCUCUUCCUCUCUCUCCAACACCCCAGUCUCCUGUACCUGCCACCAUCCCAACCUCCGGCGACUCAGCCUAACACACCAUCAUCACCAUCGUCACUGCCACCACCUCUCAGCCUUCCAGUGUGCUCGCGGUCUUCCCGAUUCUGUCAUGUAACCUGCUGUUCCAGAAGAUGUAUCUGCAGAGCACGGCCUUUCUUUCACCUCUAAAUGAGUCCCUAAGGAAAGACGUCACUCUGCCAUGCUUCAGAUCGAUCUCGAUGCCUCUUCUUUAUAUAAAGAAAAGAGAACGCUUCACAAAAGAGACUUCGUGUAUAAUCUUGGAAACAAAUAUUCUAUAGACCAUCCAAGAUUAAAGACACUUCAACAUCCAGCUGUGAGAACACUAUUUUUGAAGAGGAAAAAAGGUGGGAUUUCCUUCCUGCUGGCUUGUGUACUGAACAGGAAGAAAUAA